AAAGUUCCAGAUAGUUGUGUCAAAUAUAUCAGCCAAAGGACCUGCCGUCGUUGCUUGAGCUUGUUGAGUUUGUUCUGGGAGCUCCUCUUCCUGGGGAAAAUCUGUUGGAAACCUUGAGCAAGCAUCUAAUGUUGGCUGUGUCAUCAAGCUUUGGCUUGUAACUGUGUAUUUCUCUCCUUCUCAUCUUCUUCUUUGAGGAGGUUUAUUUUCAGGGAGUCUUGACAGAUUUGAUAGAGGAUCUAAAUUUUCUUUAGAAUUUUAGAACCACUAUCCUUUUUAGUGUCGGUGUUCAAUUGAUUAUAGAUGAUAGUGACAUUUUGGACCAUGGUCCUGGUUCGGUGUGGUUUCAUGAUUGUCAUACAGUACACUAAAUUUUCUGAGUAUUGCACAAGCUGAGUAAAUAUGGGUCGAGGUAAUCUAACCUUAUACUACAUAUUCAAUUAAUACACGUUCUUAUUGAAAAAGAUAUACCAAAUACCAUUUUGUAAUGGAUAGCACACUUUUAAAUAAUGGACAUAACAAUUAACGCUUUUUUUGUAGUGAAGAACAACUGUGUUUGCACAUACAAUCUUCACUUAAUUUGAGGACCACCAUCCUCCCCGCUCCCUCCCCUCCCCCAACCCGAUAUAGAUGCCUAACCUGCGGGAACGGGAAGGCGGCCGGCGGGUGACGCGAGGCGCGGUGGCGGCGCGAGGAAGACGGGCAGAUCCGGGCGCGGCGUUGACUGGCGGCUGGUGCGGCGGCUUGUUCCGGUGCCAGCGGCGUCCUGCUCAUCCAGAGAAGGAGAGAUAAGGGCCUCAGGGAGAGAGGAAACAGAGGAAGAAAGGAGAAGGAGAAGGGGCGCAAGGUGAGGGAGGGAUCUGGCGGGUGGUGCGAGGGCUUGCUCCGGUGGCGGCGGCGGCCUUCUCAUCCAGAGAAAGAGAUGGACAGGGACGUGGGGGAGAGAGGAAGCAAGGAGAAGGAGAAGGGGCGCAUGGUGAGGAAGGUGGUCGCCGGCUGUGGUGCCUCCGGUGACCGACCGGCGGUAUGGUGGCGAGUUCCUGUUGAGGCCACAUACAACUAGCACCGUCAGCACCACAAGACCACACCAGGAGGGUGUCUGGUCAUCCGCGUGGUCUCCCUCCAACCGGCGCGUCUGACCACAGCCAAUGGUGUCUGGAGUUCUGGACACCUGCUCGGGCUACCCUGCUGCUGCUACUUCUGUCCUCACGCCUCUGCUGCUGCUCCUUCUACUUCUCAGAUGCCCCUGCUUGCUCUGAACUCUCCCACUCUCUGCUGUUGCAUCUGAGUGCGGCCACGGUGCUGGUCUAAGCAGCAACAGAGUGGUGUUCGAGGCGAUGGGUGCCUGGAGAGGGCAUGCUGGGCGAUGCUGCUGUAGAGGAUGAGAGAGAGCAGAGAGGUGAGAGGUAGAGAGAGCAGAGAGAGGCGUUGAUUGCUGCACCUACUGAUCUGGUCCUGCGGAGAAAAAAGAGAUAGGUGAGAGAGAGGAGUUAAUUGCAUAGAAAUACCAUAAUUGGGGCAUCACAUGCAAAUUGGUACCACGAUUGCUAA